UAUUUUAAUUCUGGUAGCCCCCAAAAUAUUGGGACAUAUAAAAAGAGACAACUCUGUUCCGCAGAGUAGCUGUUGACAUUAUAGUUGCGCAGGAACUUUGUUGACUCUAGAGAACCUCAGGCAAAUCGCAGAUCCCGUGGCGGUGACUUUGCAUGCGGAUGUCUUCCAUAUCAACUUUCGAUGCCAGUUUCUGCGCCCACCAUGGUGACCAUGGGUAACGGGGAAUCAGGUCUUCCAUUCCGUACAGGGACCCUGAGAAAUGGCUACCACAUGCAAAGAAGGCAGCAGGCGCGCAAAUGACCCACUCCCGACGCGGGAAGGUAGUGA